rnacentral:rRNA from 1 species
AGUACGGCCGCAAGGCUGAAACUCAAAGGAAUUGACGGGGGCCCGCACAAGCGGUGGAGCAUGUGGUUUAAUUGGAAGCAACGCGAAGACCCUUACCAGGUCUUGACAUCUUCUGACAACCCUAGAGAUAGGGCUUUUCCUUCGGGAGCAGAGUGACAGGUGGUGCAUGGUGGUCGUCAGCUCGUGUCGUGAGAUGUUGGGUUAAGUCCCGCAACGAGCGCAACCCUUGAUCUUAGUUGCCAUCAUUAAGUUGGGCACUCUAAGGUGACUGCCGGUGACAAACCGGAGGAAGGUGGGGAUGACGUCAAAUCAUCAUGCCCCUUAUGACCUGGGCUACACACGUGCUACAAUGGACGGUACAAAGAGCUGCAAGACCGCGAGGUGGAGCUAAUCUCAUAAAACCGUUCUCAGUUCGGAUUGUAGGCUGCAACUCGCCUACAUGAAGCGGGAAUCGCUAGUAAUCGCGGAUCAGCAUGCCGCGGUGAAUACGUUCCCGGGCCUUGUACACACCGCCCGUCACACCACGAGAGUUUGUAACACCCGAAGUCGGUGGGGUACCCUUUGGAGCCAGCCGC